rnacentral:lncRNA from 1 species
GGUCGGGUCGCGGGCGCUCGGUCCCAGCCGAGGGGCGGGCGCCGGACGGCGUGCGGGACCGAGGGCGCCGCGGCUGGCCGGGGUCCUGGGCCUCGCCGGUGGGCGUCUCGCCGUCGCACCCGCAGCGCACUCCUGCCGAGGGAGGCCCUGCCCCCCCACACACAGCCCCCGGCGGCGGCCCGUCGUGACGUGCGCGUUCUGACGUCACCCUGCCGGCGCCGCCCUGACGUGUCCUCUCCCUGAUGUCACCCGGCGGCGCCGCGGACACGCAGCAGGCUGCUGUCACCUGCUGAGUGGUCAGCGUUCCCGAGUCAGUGCGAGUGCGGUUGGUUUUUUAAAGACCCGGGAACCUCCGGAGUUCCGUUCUGGGGUCUGCCUGAGCUGUGCGGUCUGCGGGGACGGGCGCUCGGGGCGGAGCAGGACCGGGUGCCAGCACAUUCCUGCGAUGAAAAAUAAAAACGUUAGAAAACUUGUCCGGUUUAGCAGAACAAACCUACCCUGCUGGGACUCAAGAGUGGACAAGGAAUAUGGAAGUAACAUCUGUAUACAUCUGCUCCCUGUAAAAUGCCAACCUGUCAUCCCCAGGGAGCUGCACGGGCCCAUGGUGCACAUGUGUGCACCUUGCACCAGCAGCAGGAGGGCCAGGCGUCAGCACCCAGGAAACACUCUCAGAGUGCGCUCAACAGAGCCACUUUGCCAGGGACCAACAAAUAAAAACCUCUAG